rnacentral:lncRNA from 1 species
CCCCAAAAUAGCACCAUUUUCCCUCCAAAUGAGCUGAGAAAUUAUUUUCACGGAGGUCCUCCUACAUGCCAAGUUUAAAGCACUUUGUGUUCGGUCGUUUUGGAGUUGUUGGUGAGUUGAGGAAAAACUCUUCCUUUUCCAGUUUUAUAAAGGAUUUUUUUUUUUUUCAUUUUCUCAAACUCCAAACUAAAGGCUUAAUCUCACGUUCUGGACCCUGUGGCCUGCCCAAGAUAUCUUUCAUUAAUGAACUGAGGACUCGGGGGUUUCUUGGGAGCUGCCUCCCUCCUGUGCCUUUGAAAGUGACCUUGGAAGGGGCGCAGCCUCUGCCCCAGGUGGCCUACCUGGGCCUCCCCCUGCUCUCGCCACUUCCAAGGCUGCCUGACUUCCCUUCUCAGAGCCCUGGGGCCUGAUUUCCUUUCCAUCCUGCUUUCUGGGAUCAUCCAAAAGGAAAUGGCCAGGCACUCAGGAAUGCCUUUUAAAAUGGGGUUCUGGAGCCAUUCUGCUUGGAACCUUUGCUGGGCGGUUUUGGCCAGGCCUUCGCCUCUCCGGGACAUGCAAAUGCACUGGCAGAGAUAUCGUGCAGCCUCCUCCACCUUCCUUCACCGCUCCUCACUCCCUCUCACCCCAGCUUCUGCACUUGAAAACCCCCGUGCCUAUACCCAGAUGAACUCGGAGCUCUUUGCACAGGGCCCACCGGCUCCGCAGCCUCUGAUGGACGUGAGGCAGAGUCCAGCCUGACACUGCCUGCUCUCUCUAUGGCCAUGUUCUGCUCAUGAUCAAUACAUCCUAAUUACAGAAAGCCUAAACUGUGGGCCUCAAACUUUGGGAGCCUUAGAAUCCAUUGGUGAGCUUGUUAAAAAUGCAGAUUUCAGAGUUCCCUGGUGAUUCAGCCGGUCGAGGAUACAGCAUUGUGAUUGCAGUGGCUCGCGUCGCUACUGUGGCGCAGAUUCCCUGGCCCAGGAACUUCCUUCUGCAUGCUACGGGUGCAGGACCAAAAAAAAAAAAAAAAUUUCCAGCCCCAUUGCUGGGAAUCUUAUUGAGAUUUCUGGCAGAGCCUUGGAAUCUGCAUUCUUGAAGCAACCUAGAGUAUUCCAGUGCUGGUCAUCUAGCAGCCACCCUUGGAGAAAUGUGGCUUAAUCCUUGGUCAGGCUGGCUUACUUGGGGCUUCUACUCUGCAACACACUGCCCAGGCCACAUGGGGCAGUGACAAGGAGGAAGUAAAGACCAGGAGUGUGAGGGUACAGACUGAGACACAAAUAUAAACCAGGUGGACGUGGGCUUGGGCCCAGGGAGCUGGGUGGAGGAAGGGUAGUUCCAAAUGUGACUGCACAGGGAUCAGCACUGCAGGGCUCCAUGUAGAAACACUGCUGGGACAGUGAUUAGAGUGACCUUGUGACCUUCUGCCGCCAGUGCAGGUGCUAGAAGGACCUUCUCCUGUGUGGGGGACAGGCUGUGAGGCUAGAUGGCAGACAUCACUCCUAUAUGCCAUAUCCUGAGGAGGGGAGCUCAGCUUCUCCUCAGAGGCAGCCCAGCAUGGAACUUAAAAGCACUGGCUUUGGUCUCACCCUGCCUGGGUCAUUGUCACUUGUCUAAUCUCCCUGGGCAAACUUGAGAAGGCUACACACCUGCUUUCUCUGUACCUGGGUUUCCUCCUCUGGAAAAGGAGGACAAUAAUACCCAAUUCCAAAGAUUAUCUAGAGGAUUAAAUGACAUUAUAUGCACAAGGUUCUGAGCAGUCCUGGAAGUAGUAAAGGUUCCAUGAACAUGGGCUACCACCUUUGUUCUCAUAGCUGCCCCCUGCCUCGCCGAACAGCUCUGAAGCUGCUUUUCAUAGAAUCAGACCACAUGAGUGAUUUGGAUAGUCCCUGAAUAUCUUUGUCCCCUUGUUCCCAGAAAGCCUCUGGUUUUCCCUUUUCCUCCCUCUGAAAGCCCUUGACACCCUACAAGGGCCAGUUUGGAAUAAGCAACACUUACGAAUACAUCCGCCUUCCUCUCUAAGUGACCCCAGCGCACAGGCCAUUUACAGCCUUCCCAGGGUUAUUGAAGGAAGCGCUCAACAGAUGGGGACCAGAACCCUGCAACCGAAAACACUGGUUUUGAAUUCCAAACCUCUGCCCUGAUGAGGGCUCUGUGAUCUACAAGGUGAGAUAGGGAAUUUAAGGUUGGAAUCGAAGGCUCCCAAGGAGAUGGAGAAAGGAACAUCACAUACGCAGAGGACCAGACAGCACCCAGUUAAUCCCCCUGCACCUUUGCGACGCUGGCUGGGGUAACUGCUGUGCUGGUCUCAGCUUCUGAAGAUGCUCUGACUCAGUUUCCCCCUAUAGGCUCAAGCCAUCACAGGGUGUUGUGGCUCAAGGUAAACGACUUUCAUGGGUAGUGCAGGUAUGGGAGCAUUGCUAGUAUUGGCUCUUUGUCCUAAUAAUCAGCUCUGAGAAUGCUAUAGCUUUAUAAAUAAAAGACCUUAAUUUGUCAGGAUAACCAGGUAACCACAAACCAGCCAUCCCCUACAGCCUCAUCAAUAGCCUGUAUCUAAAAGGUAUCCUGCUGGGGAAAGCAAUGCUGUUUUGCACUCAUCUGGUACAAGGCACAGAUGUCCCAAGGUGAGUAUCUCCUGGGCCAGAAAAGCAAAAAGGGAUGAAGCAACAUGGCGGCACCACCGAGACUCAAAACACUUGGAGCAUUUUCUAGGUGGAGACCAUUGCCUCCACAUCCAGACACUGGCUGGGAGUCACUGCUGAGAAAGACCCUCCUCCUGUGCUCCCUGGAAGGAUCUGGGUGGUGCAGGGUUGCUAACAGGGCCGUGAGGGGCCAACCCCCCUCACCCUGGUGGCUCUGUGGCUGGUGGGAAGGCAAGGCUGGGAGAAGAGCCACACUGUGCUUGGUUGACUCUGUUGAGUUCAGAGAGGGCUUCCCAUUUGAUUUGGCGAAGGAGAAAAGUUCUUUAUUUUCCCCAGCCGUGGGGCCCGUCAGCCCCACGGCUGAGUGCGCAGGCUCCCCUCCCUCCACCGAUCCCACAACACGACUCGCAAAGUUCAAUGAGAAGCCCCACCCACAACGGGCCUGUUUGAUCCCUGGAGCAUGCGCACUCUUCCCUCCAGUGCAGCCAGGCGGGCUCUCCCAGAGAUCCUUCGCGAGCUGGCUUCUUUUUCUUUCUUUUUUUUUUUUCUUUUUUUCCCCUAAGACCAGAGCCCAGUUAUUUACCCAAAGAAAACAGGGAAGUGACAAGGUAACAGAGUACACAUGUUGUGAAAAUAUGCAGGCUGAGGCUGAAGAAAAGAAAACAUUCUUCCAUAAGUAGCUGCCUUGUUAAUUCAUUUUUUUCUCCAGAUUAGAACCAGCCAUUUCUCGUGCUCCUCCAAGCACCUUCUGUGGUUUCCUGACAGCUGCCUGCAAGGGGUGAGACUUGGCUUGAAAAAUGGGCCAUCGGUCAUGCUUCAGGGGCAGGGCAGAAACCAAAAUUCCCAGAUUGCUCAAAUUCACUGCUCCCCUUUUCCAGGGGAAUGAAAGGGGGAGAGGUGCCGGGGAGAGGAUUGUAUAAACUCCCAGGCGUCACCUGAUUUUCCAUAAGAAACGACAGGUCGCUAAUGAAGAGUCCUUGGGACCGGCUUUCUUACCUCCUCUGAAGUUGGUUUCCUCUCCCUGGCAAGCCCGGGCUCCGCAGCCUUGAGGAACAGCCACCACGGGCUGAUUCUCAGCAAUUAAAAAUAAUAUUGGCCCUGAUAGAGGACUCUUGGGUCCCCCCCACCUGCAACACACACACACACACACCCUUUUCAUUCUGUGCCAAAGAUCACUUUCCCAAACCUGUUUGGAACAGCUGGCUGCAUCCAAGGAGCUGACUCCAACCCUGCAGCCCCCGAGUGGACCAGGGAAGGGCUGGGGUUAUUAACAGCAUUUGUUCCGCCUGGUGUUUGGGGCAGAAAAGAGUUCUGCACCUUUGGGGCAGUUUGGGCCGCACAUUUGGAGCCUGAUUUUUCUGCACUGGAUCCUUUAAACCUCAGGGCCGACAGAGAAUGGCUGAGAAAGUCUGCAGACGGGCUCACCAUGGUCAGCAUCCCUCUGGUGCAAAUCUUUGUGCUGCUGUUGUUUUUCCUUCUCAGGGUUCCUGGUCCCCUUUUCAGCCUGUGGGUGUUGGCCCAGGGCUUGGCCUGGCUUUCAGGAGAGGUCACACUGCAGAGGCCUGGACGACCCCCGUUAGCAUUGCUGUGGCACUUGCUGUAAAUGGGAGGUCCCUGGAGCUGGGCGAUCCAUCCCAGCGCCAGGCAGGCCUCUGUAAAAGACGUGCUCCCCUUUCCCAAAGAAGAGGCCACUGCAGGCCUGAGGCGGGGGGACCUCCUCACCUCUUACUUAUGGCCUCAGAGCUUGUCAGCUCCCCACCACCAGCACCCAGCAGCCUCACCCUCAGGAUGGCCAUGAGGAUGUGGGUUCGAUCCCUGGCCUCCCUCAGUGGGUCAAGGAUCCAGGGUUGCUGUGAGCUGUGGUGUAGGUCGCAGACCUGGCUUGGAUCCCGCAUGGCUGUGGCUGUGGUGCAGGCCGGCAGCUGCAACUCCUAUUCAACCCCUAGCCUGGCAACCCUAAGAAA